CACCCAGGACGGUGGAUCACUCGGCUCGUGGGUCGAUGAAGAACGCAGCAAAUUGCGCGUCGACAUGUGAACUGCAGGACACAUGAACAUCGACGUUUCGAACGCACAUUGCGAUCCAUGGAUUCCGUUCCCGGGCCACGUCUGGCUGAGGGUCGGCU
rnacentral:rRNA from 1 species